rnacentral:lncRNA from 1 species
UUUUUCAGCUAAAAAAGCUAUCUGUUUGGGCCUUUCUUUGGUUGUUUUCAUAUUUGAAAUUCAUUUUACCAGUUUCACACUGGCUUGAUUCAAGCAUGGCUUAUGUAAUUUGCCAAGCAAUUACUCCAUAAUAAAGUCUAAUUUCUUUUUGUAUUUUAAAAUAUUUUUAUGCAACGAAGAGCCAAGAUGUUUAACUUUGAAAAGUGGCUGCAGAGUAGCAUAUGCAGAAACUACUUUCAAAAAGAUUUCAUGGGGAUUUUUAUUAUGCAUUCUCAAUUCAAGUAAAAUAUAGACACUAAAAAUAUAUGUCCACAUAUGGUUUAUUGAGAAAAUAUUAUGUAUUUUGAAAGUUGUCUAAAUAUAUAUUUAUGGAGCCAUCAUUCUCUGCCAUGUGCACUCCAAGAAGGCUUUCCUCUUCCUAUUGUCAUCUUAAUCCUUGGGAUGUAGCAUUCUGCUUUUGGAGCUCCUGCCCCAUACUGGUUUUGUUUAGAUUAGGCCUCUGUCAAACUGUCUGGUCCAAUCUUAGGACCACAAGCCCACUUUGAGCUUAGGGCUGGGUUUCCUUCUCUACCAGUGGGGCUGAUGCAGAGCCACGUCCCCAUUGCAGAGCCUGGCUCUGAUCCAGUGAAGUCCUUGGAGCUGCAGCCUGCUCAUGACACAUGCUCAAGGGUGUUCCCAGAUCGGGGCUAGUGUAGGAUGUAUCUAGCCCAGGAGGGAGGAAGGGACCCAUGAUAAUCAGGGGACUCACCAUCAUGGCAUGGCAGGAAGCAUAUCUUCAUGUCAUCCUAUGUAGGGCUUCCAGGAGACGAGGUGGUGUGAAUCCCUGCCGUAGUGACAGCAGGGCAGAGAACCACUGGAUGAGUCUGCCUUCCCAGUGCUGGGUAUGCUCACUCUCACUGGCCAGGACAUGGAGGAGCCACAGUGUACAGGAGAAUGGAGAUCAAGCACAUCCAUACAAAGGGUGGCUGGUUGGGAUCGCAUCCUUUAAGCAGCAUAGUCACCCAUGAGCAGAUUUCAAGUCAACCAUGAAUGGUACAAGCUUGGCCAGGGACUUCAGGAAGUGGCUGGUAGGCUCUGCAAGGCUUGGGGGCAGGAGCACUGUGGCUUCCCAGGAAUGUCACAGGCAAACCAGUCACCAGCAAACCCUAGUGCACACAG